UACUUUAUGUAUAUGUCUAGACAUGAUUCGAUGUAAGUAAACAAGGACUCUAACAUGGUCUGCCUCGACCUCUCCUCGCACUCCCGUGACCCUUUCACCACCACCUGCAUGUCCACCUCAAGAACGGGAGGUCUCUCUCUCUCCUGCAGCAUCUGCAGCAGCCCCGUGGACGGGGACGGAUCAGACCGAAUUGUCUGAUCCUCCACAAGCACACUCGUGAGAGUCGUCGGCGGAUUUUUUCUGAUCCGACACAAUCUUGAACCUGAAACUCGGCAGCCUAAUUUUUUUCUGAUCCACCUCCGUCGUCUCCUGCAGACGACGACCCGUGGGAUCCAACUCCGGCAGUCUCGCCAUCUCUUCCUUCUCCGAGCGGUGAAUGGCGCGUGGGAUCCUCCUCCAUCGCCCGGGCGUCCUCCGCCUCGCGGACGGGCCGCUGCCUGAUUCCCCCGACGGCGGCCUGGGGGUCUGCCAAUACACGGGGAUGGAGGCCCAGGCAGCAUGAAGAGGAGAGAUUUCAAUCGCAAGUGCUUGGUUCUGCUCCCAAGAGAACAGUUUCAAACUUGUACAAGUCUCAAGGUCUUUGUCAAAAGGUGUCUUUUCUUCUCAAAAGAAAAGAAAACGUCCCGUCCAAUUAUAUGGGACUAAAACAAAACAAAACAAAACAAAACAAAAAAA